rnacentral:lncRNA from 1 species
CCACUGCAUCGCCAGGGAAGUAAGAUCCGCCGUUGUGGCUUUAAUCUUUUAAUUGCGCUGUCGGGGAAACCAGAUCUGCCGUUGUGACUUCAAUCUGCUCCGCUGCACCGCCAGGGAAGUAAGAUCCGCCAUUGUGGCUUCAAUCUUUUUAAUUGCGCUGUCGGGGAAACCAGAUCUGCCGUUGUGACUUCAAUCUGCUCCACUGCAUUGCC